GAUGAAGAACGUAGCGAAAUGCGAUAAGUAAUGUGAAUUGCAGAAUUCAGUGAAUCAUCGAAUCUUUGAACGCACCUUGCGCCCUUUGGCCAUUCCGAAGGGCAUGCCUGUUUGAGUAUCAUGAACACCUCAACUCUCAUGGCUUGCCAUGAUCAGCUUGGACUUUGGGGGUCUUGCUGGCCUGUGGUCGGCUCCUCUCAAAUGAAUCAGCUUGCCAGUGUUUGGUGGCAUCACAAGUGUGAUAACUAUCUGCGCUCGUGGUUUCCAUCAGAUAACCUCCAGUGAUGGAGGUUCGCUGGAGCUCAUAAAUGUCUCUCCUAAGCGAGGACAGCUCUUUUAAUGUUUGAUCUCAAAUCAGGUAGGACUACCCGCUGAACUUAAGCAUAUCAAUAAGCGGAGGA
rnacentral:misc_RNA from 1 species